rnacentral:rRNA from 1 species
CCUACGGGAGGCAGCAGUGAGGAAUAUUGGUCAAUGGACGAGAGUCUGAACCAGCCAAGUAGCGUGAAGGAUGACUGCCCUAUGGUUUGUAAACUUCUUUUAUAGGGGAAUAAAAUGUUCCACGUGUGGGAUUUUGUAUGUACCAUAUGAAUAAGCAUCGGCUAACUCCGUGCCAGCAGCCGCGGUAAUACGGGGGAUCCGAGCGUUAUCCGGGUUUAUUGGGUUUAAAGGGAGCGUUGGUGGUUUGUUAAGUCAGUUGUGGAAGUUUGCGGCUCAACCGUAAAAUUGCAGUUGAAACUGGCAGUAUUGAGUACAGUAGAGGUGGGCGGAAUUCGUGGUGUAGCGGUGAAAUGCUUAGAUAUCACGAAGAACUCCGAUUGCGAAAGCAGCUUACUGAACUGCAACUGACACUGAGGCUAGAAAGUGUGGGUAUCAAACAGGAUUAGAUACCCCUGGUAGUC